rnacentral:rRNA from 1 species
AUUGAACGCUGGCGGCAUGCCUAACACAUGCAAGUCGAACGAGUGGCGGACGGGUGAGUAAUGUCUCGGAAACUGCCUGAUGGAGGGGGAUAACUGCUGGAAACGGUAGCUAAUACCGCAUACUAUCGGAUGUGCCCAGGUGGGAUUAGCUGGUUGGUGGGGUAAAGGCUCACCAAGGCGACGAUCCCUAGCGGGUCUGAGAGGAUGACCGGCCACACUGGAACUGAGACACGGUCCAGACUCCUACGGGAGGCAGCAGUGGGGAAUUUUGGACAAUGGGCGCAAGCCUGAUCCAGCCAUGCCGCGUGUCUGAAGAAGGCCUUCGGGUUGUAAAGUACUUUCGUCGGGGAGGCGGUACCCGCAGAAGAAGCACCGGCUAACUACGUGCCAGCAGCCGCGGUAAUUC